rnacentral:rRNA from 1 species
GGAUGAACGCUAGCUACAGGCUUAACACAUGCAAGUCGAGGGGCAUCAGGAAGAAAGCUUGCUUUCUUUGCUGGCGACCGGCGCACGGGUGAGUAACACGUAUCCAACCUGCCCUUUACUCGGGGAUAGCCUUUCGAAAGAAAGAUUAAUACCCGAUAGCAUAAUGAUUCCGCAUGGUUUCAUUAUUAAAGGAUUCCGGUAAAGGAUGGGGAUGCGUUCCAUUAGGUUGUUGGUGAGGUAACGGCCCACCAAGCCUUCGAUGGAUAGGGGUUCUGAGAGGAAGGUCCCCCACAUUGGAACUGAGACACGGUCCAAACUCCUACGGGAGGCAGCAGUGAGGAAUAUUGGUCAAUGGGCGCUAGCCUGAACCAGCCAAGUAGCGUGAAGGAUGAAGGCUCUAUGGGUCGUAAACUUCUUUUAUAUAAGAAUAAAGUGCAGUAUGUAUACUGUUUUGUAUGUAUUAUAUGAAUAAGGAUCGGCUAACUCCGUGCCAGCAGCCGCGGUAAUACGGAGGAUCCGAGCGUUAUCCGGAUUUAUUGGGUUUAAAGGGAGCGUAGGUGGACUGGUAAGUCAGUUGUGAAAGUUUGCGGCUCAACCGUAAAAUUGCAGUUGAUACUGUCAGUCUUGAGUACAGUAGAGGUGGGCGGAAUUCGUGGUGUAGCGGUGAAAUGCUUAGAUAUCACGAAGAACUCCGAUUGCGAAGGCAGCUCACUGGACUGCAACUGACACUGAUGCUCGAAAGUGUGGGUAUCAAACAGGAUUAGAUACCCUGGUAGUCCACACAGUAAACGAUGAAUACUCGCUGUUUGCGAUAUACAGUAAGCGGCCAAGCGAAAGCAUUAAGUAUUCCACCUGGGGAGUACGCCGGCAACGGUGAAACUCAAAGGAAUUGACGGGGGCCCGCACAAGCGGAGGAACAUGUGGUUUAAUUCGAUGAUACGCGAGGAACCUUACCCGGGCUUAAAUUGCAGUGGAAUGAUGUGGAAACAUGUCAGUGAGCAAUCACCGCUGUGAAGGUGCUGCAUGGUUGUCGUCAGCUCGUGCCGUGAGGUGUCGGCUUAAGUGCCAUAACGAGCGCAACCCUUAUCUUUAGUUACUAACAGGUUAUGCUGAGGACUCUAGAGAGACUGCCGUCGUAAGAUGUGAGGAAGGUGGGGAUGACGUCAAAUCAGCACGGCCCUUACGUCCGGGGCUACACACGUGUUACAAUGGGGGGUACAGAAGGCAGCUAGCGGGUGACCGUAUGCUAAUCCCAAAAUCCUCUCUCAGUUCGGAUCGAAGUCUGCAACCCGACUUCGUGAAGCUGGAUUCGCUAGUAAUCGCGCAUCAGCCACGGCGCGGUGAAUACGUUCCCGGGCCUUGUACACACCGCCCGUCAAGCCAUGGGAGCCGGGGGUACCUGAAGUACGUAACCGCAAGGAUCGUCCUAGGGUAAAACUGGAG